GACGAACGCUGGCGGCGUGCCUAAUACAUGCAAGUAGAACGCUGAAGGAGGAGCUUGCUUCUCUGGAUGAGUUGCGAACGGGUGAGUAACGCGUAGGUAACCUACCUGGUAGCGGGGGAUAACUAUUGGAAACGAUAGCUAAUACCGCAUAAGAGUAGAUGUCGCAUGACAUUUGCUUAAAAGGUGCAAUUGCAUCACUACCAGAUGGACCUGCGUUGUAUUAGCUAGUUGGUGAGGUAACGGCUCACCAAGGCAACGAUACAUAGCCGACCUGAGAGGGUGAUCGACCACACUGGGACUGAGACACGGCCCAGACUCCUACGGGAGGCAGCAGUAGGGAAUCUUCGGCAAUGGACGGAAGUCUGACCGAGCAACGCCGCGUGAGUGAAGAAGGUUUUCGGAUCGUAAAGCUCUGUUGUAAGAGAAGAACGAGUGUGAGAGUGGAAAGUUCACACUGUGACGGUAUCUUACCAGAAAGGGACGGCUAACUACGUG
rnacentral:rRNA from 1 species